UAUUUCGGUGUUUUAGCAAAAGGGAUCUACACUUAUUAAUCAUUUCGAACUCGGUGGUAAAACUUUAUUGCAGUUACGAUACUACAAAAGAAGUUUUGUGGAAAAAUAAAUUUAUGCCGGAAU
rnacentral:rRNA from 1 species